rnacentral:rRNA from 1 species
GGCCCUUUGGGUCCAACCUCCCACCCGUGUUUAUUUACCUCGUUGCUUCGGCGGGCCCGCCUUAACUGGCCGCCGGGGGGCUCACGCCCCCGGGCCCGCGCCCGCCGAAGACACCCCCGAACUCUGCCUGAAGAUUGUCGUCUGAGUGAAAAUAUAAAUUAUUUAAAACUUUCAACAACGGAUCUCUUGGUUCCGGCAUCGAUGAAGAACGCAGCGAAAUGCGAUACGUAAUGUGAAUUGCAAAUUCAGUGAAUCAUCGAGUCUUUGAACGCACAUUGCGCCCCCUGGUAUUCCGGGGGGCAUGCCUGUCCGAGCGUCAUUGCUGCCCUCAAGCCCGGCUUGUGUGUUGGGCCCCGUCCUCCGAUUCCGGGGGACGGGCCCGAAAGGCAGCGGCGGCACCGCGUCCGGUCCUCGAGCGUAUGGGGCUUUGUCACCCGCUCUGUAGGCCCGGCCGGCGCUUGCCGAUCAACCCAAAUUUUUAUCCAGGUUGACCUCGGAUCAGGUAGGGAUACCCGCUGAACUUAAGCAUAUCAA